GUUCAUGUGUGCAGAAAUUUUUCUACUGUAAAAUAAAAUUAAACAAGGUGCAAUGGGAGGGUUGAUUCACAUUCUUCAUUGUUGCUCAUACAUUGCAUUUGCAUAUAAUACAAACUUAUGCUCAAAAGUUGAAGGAAUCCUCAAUUGAAAAUGGAAAAGAAGCAAUGAAGAUAGAAAAGGAAAUCUCCUCUACAAUAUCCAAAAUCCCUUUCUGCUUGCUAUGACUUGUAAUCACUUCAUUAGAUAGGCUUGGGAAUUGAUCCACCAGCUGCCAGGACCCGUCGCUGAAGCUAAAAUCAUACAAGUAGAUUUCAGUUUGCUGUGAAACAAUUUAAGUUUUCAAGAAGCAUCCAUUUACUCUUUUUGUUUUGACUUACCUUGAACAGAGUUUCGAGCUUCGUUUUCAUUAGGGAGUACUCAUGUUUCACUUGUUGCAGGCAUUUUAGGCACCUGUAGCAGACCAGUUUUGCAUUAGAACAUGAAACUAUUCAUAAAUACAUUCCUUUUGAUUAAGAUUAAGCUCGAUAUUACGUGAGAUUAAGGUUAAAGAACAUUACCCUUCAGUAUUCUGCUCGUCGCAAUAGUUCCGGAAGGCAAUGCAGGCUUUCUGAACUCUCUGAGCACCUAUGCUGUUAUUUCAAGACAUUUUUCAUACUAGAAUAACUGAGAGAAGAAUCAUCAACAAUUUAUUUACCCUUUAUAGAUUCAUGGGAAAAUAUGAAGAAAAUCAAUUUUGCCAGACCAAGAUGAUUUGGAAUGUAUGAAAUUUGACUUUCUGCCACUAUUUUUUGAUCAACUGACCAAAAAAAACACAAAACUAACUGAUAUAAAAGACUUGUGCCAGAAAAAAUCAUCUGAAAGCGGCCACUAUAUUCAGAGUGAAACUGAUAGAACAUUCUGUGAGCUGCAUUUUAGAUUAAAAUCAACUGAAGGAAAUAUGCCUGAAUAAAUAGUUGUUUAAAACUAACAGGUGUUUUCCAGUUUCAAAUUCACUGGUCAUAAGAAGGGAAAUAUAGAGAAAGCCAGUUUAGUACCUGGAGCUGCUGCCCUUCAACUGGUGAACAUGAGCAUCUAUUCUUUUGAAAUCUACACUUUGCUGCUCUCUGUGCAAUAUAAGAAGACAAUAAAACAACCACAUUAGAUCUAUGAAGAAGAAAUACAACUAGGGAUUAUAUUCUUUAUUUGCAAAAGAAUUCCAAAAAAGGUAACAAUAAAAAACAAAAAAAUCUCACAGAGCUUUGGCCAGUUCAUUAAGAAGCCUUUCUGAAUCUUCAAAGAAAAGAGAUACAACUUCAACCACAAAAUCUGGGUUGCUUUCAUCUUGCAGUUGCUGAAGUUGAUUAAACUGUUCAUCCAAGAAUCCCUCAUGGAAAAGUGAAGCUGUGUAGUCAACUAACUGUCUUUGCAACUGAACCACACUAUCCAUUGUAGCUCUUCUCUAAGUUUUCUCUUAUUACUUGCAGAUCUUAUAGGAAUCACUUCAUCUGUUUCUUUCUUUCUUUCUUUGAAAACAAAUAAAAAUACAAAACCAAGAAAGGGAUUUGAUAAGGAUUCUUGCCUCUGGAGUAGACAAGAUAAAUAAGGAAUGUGGAGUCACUCUUUGGUCUUUACCAUCCUCCUUCUGGGUUGGUGUUUCUCAGUUUCUGUUGUUUUGUCUUCUCUCUGAACACUCCCAAGAAAAAAAUAACAAAUAAAUAAAACCAUCACAAGAUCCAAAACUUGAUUCCAUGUGCAAUUUACUUUCCUUAAUCUUUCUUUCAGUAAUUAUUGAUCUCUCUCUGCAAUAUUUAUUUUUGUUUUGUUUUUCUACUCCAAGUUGCUAACUUCUCCAAAGAGGCAUGACAAUUUCAAAGUCUG
rnacentral:misc_RNA from 1 species